AGAGAAGCGAAGCGGUGACGUGGAGCAAACCUCAGAAAGCCAAUCUCAGUUCGGAUUGUAGGCUGCAACUCGCCUACAUGAAGUUGGAAUCGCUAGUAAUCGCGAAUCAGAAUGUCGCGGUGAAUACGUUCCCGGGUCUUGUACACACCGCCCGUCACACCACGAGAGUUUACAACACCCGAAGUCAGUGGCCUAACCGCAAGGAGGGAGCUGCCUAAGGUGGGGUGGAUGAUUGGGGUGAAGUCGUAACAAGGUACC
rnacentral:rRNA from 1 species